rnacentral:rRNA from 1 species
GACGAACGCUGGCGGCGUGCCUAAUACAUGCAAGUAGAACGCUGAAGGAGGAGCUUGCUUCUCUGGAUGAGUUGCGAACGGGUGAGUAACGCGUAGGUAACCUGCCUGGUAGCGGGGGAUAACUAUUGGAAACGAUAGCUAAUACCGCAUAAUAGUAGAUGUUGCAUGACAUUUGCUUAAAAGGUGCAAUUGCAUCACUACCAGAUGGACCUGCGUUGUAUUAGCUAGUUGGUGGGGUAACGGCUCACCAAGGCGACGAUACAUAGCCGACCUGAGAGGGGGAUCGGCCACACUGGGACUGAGACACGGCCCAGACUCCUACGGGAGGCAGCAGUAGGGAAUCUUCGGCAAUGGACGGAAGUCUGACCGAGCAACGCCGCGGGAGUGAAGAAGGUUUUCGGAUCGUAAAGCUCUGUUGUAAGAGAAGAACGAGUGUGGGAGUGGAAAGUUCACACUGUGACGGUAUCUUACCAGAAAGGGACGGCUAACUACGUG